rfam:Oesophagostomum dentatum strain OD-Hann O_dentatum-1.0_Cont7355.2, whole genome shotgun sequence.
CCAACGGCCCUCUUUAGGGCCACAUUUCAUCGUAUCGAUUACCUUGU